rnacentral:rRNA from 1 species
UACGUAGGGUGCAAGCGUUGUCCGGAAUUAUUGGGCGUAAAGAGCUCGUAGGCGGUCUGUCGCGUCGGAUGUGAAAAACCCCAGGGCUCAACCCUGGGCCUGCAUUCGAUACGGGCAGACUAGAGUUCGGUAGGGGAGACUGGAAUUCCUGGUGUAGCGGUGAAAUGCGCAGAUAUCAGGAGGAACACCGGUGGCGAAGGCGGGGUCUCUGGGGCCGAUACUGACGCUGAGGAGCGAAAAGCGUGGGGGAGC